UUGUGAGACACGUCAAAUUUCAUUUUUCCAAAGCGAACAAUUCUCAUGAUACACAAGUACGGAGCAGUAAUCAUCCCACUGGAAAAGUAAAGCAAAUGCCUUUUGAGGAUUUCUUUUUACAAUCUCCUUCAGAAAAUCUUGAAGAUGAUGAACCGAUGAAUUUUGCUAUGGAUUCUGCAAAAUCCGGAAGAUAUCACUGAAGAAAUAGCGAAUUCGAGGGAAUAACUUCCUGGAAUAAUGGAGGCGCAUAUAUUCCAGGAAAACAUUAUCACGUGCUAGUAGCUUUAAAAACAAAACCUUGAACAAAACUGUAAAAUAAGCAAAUAUUUGCAAGAGAAUGAGCAAAAAAUAGUUGAGGGAGAAUUACGUUGCAAUCAACUGAAAUCUUAUCUACGUGAAAGAAACUUGUCUUAAGCAAAUAUUUGCAAGAGAAUGAGCAAAAAAUAGUUGAGGGAGAAUUACGUUGCGAUCAACUGAAAUCUUAUCUACGUGAAAGAAACUUGCCUUCUACUGUAUGAAUCUCAAAGGAUGCUACAAGAAUAACUGAUCAGCCAAAGAAAUUAAAUUUCACUUCAAUGAAGAAAGAAUUGCCUCGUUAAUAUAUGUCAUUAUGGCACAACCCAUCGCAAAACAUACUGGUCCAUUUAGUCUAUCAUUAUUUGGUACUGAUAACAAGUUUACCUCAGAGGAUAUCAUCGCACGCUGAAAAUUCAUUCUUAAAGAACUAGUUAAAUUUGGAAUAAAUUUAUUCGGAUUUUCGUCAGAUGGCGACCUUCGUUUGUUAAAAGCAAUGCAUAUGGAAAUACAUUUAGAAAUUUCACAGAUGUACCUUAAACUCGAGUUUGACAUCAAAUCGACCGUGGUUCAAUGCUAUAUAUACUGACAAUAGUUUUGUACAAGAUACCAUACAGAUAGCUACAUAACUUAGAAACAGAUUAUUGAAACCUUCUAUUCUGUUAGCGUUCGGGAACAAAAUUAUUUCUGUAAGUCAUUUAAAAAUACUGAUAAAUAUUAUAUCCAAAG